rnacentral:rRNA from 1 species
UGUGGAGCCGUCCUUGAAAUACCACCCUUGUAGUGUUGAUGUUCUAACGUCGACCCCUAAUCGGGGUUGCGGACAGUGCCUGGUGGGUAGUUUGACUGGGGCGGUCUCCUCCCAAAGAGUAACGGAGGAGCACGAAGGUGGGCUAAUCACGGUUGGACAUCGUGAGGUUAGUGCAAUGGCAUAAGCCCGCUUGACUGCGAGAAUGACAAUUCGAGCAGGUGCGAAAGCAGGUCAUAGUGAUCCGGUGGUUCUGAAUGGAAGGGCCAUCGCUCAACGGAUAAAAGGUACUCCGGGGAUAACAGGCUGAUACCGCCCAAGAGUUCAUAUCGACGGCGGUGUUUGGCACCUCGAUGUCGGCUCAUCACAUCCUGGGGCUGAAGUCGGUCCCAAGGGUAUGGCUGUUCGCCAUUUAAAGUGGUACGCGAGCUGGGUUUAGAACGUCGUGAGACAGUUCGGUCCCUAUCUGCCGUGGGCGUUGGAAGAUUGAAGGGGGCUGCUCCUAGUACGAGAGGACCGGAGUGGACGAACCUCUGGUGUUCGGGUUGUGUCGCCAGACGCAUUGCCCGGUAGCUAAGUUCGGAAUCGAUAACCGCUGAAAGCAUCUAAGCGGGAAGCGAGCCCUGAGAUGAGUCUUCCCUGAUACUUUAAGUAUCCUAAAGGGUUGUCGGAGACUACGACGUUGAUAGGUCAGGUGUGUAAGUGCUGUGAGGCAUUGAGCUAACUGAUACUAAUUGCCCGUGAGGCUUAACCAUACAACACCCAAGGGGUUU